GACAGAGGGUGCAAACGUUGUUCGGAUUUACUGGGCGUAAAACGCGUGUAGGCGGCUUUGCAAGUCGGAUGUGAAUCCCACGGCUCAACCGUGGAAGUGCAUCCGAAACUGCAUCGCUGGAGUCUCGGAGAGGAAGGUGGAAUGCUUGGUGUAGAGGUGAAAUUCGUAGAUAUCAAGCAGAACACCUGCGGCGAAGGCGGCCUUCUGGACGAUGACUGACGCUGAGACGCGAAAGCGUGGGGAGCAAACAGG
rnacentral:rRNA from 1 species